AUUGAACGCUGGCGGCAUGCCUUACACAUGCAAGUCGAACGGUAACAGGUCUUCGGAUGCUGACGAGUGGCGAACGGGUGAGUAAUACAUCGGAACGUGCCCGAUCGUGGGGGAUAACGAGGCGAAAGCUUUGCUAAUACCGCAUACGAUCUACGGAUGAAAGCGGGGGAUCUUCGGACCUCGCGCGGACGGAGCGGCCGAUGGCAGAUUAGGUAGUUGGUGGGAUAAAAGCUUACCAAGCCGACGAUCUGUAGCUGGUCUGAGAGGAUGAUCAGCCACACUGAGACUGAGACACGGCCCAGACUCUAAGGGGAGGCAGCAGUGGGGAAUUUUGGAAAAUGGGGGAAAGCUUGAUCAAGCAUGCCGCGUGCAGGAUGAAGGCCUUUGGGUUGUAAACUGCUUUUGUACGGAACGAAAAGCCUCUUUCUAAUAAAGAGGGGUCAUGACGGUACCGGAAGAAUAAGCACCGGCUAACUACGUG
rnacentral:rRNA from 1 species